ensembl:lncRNA
CUGUUUUUUAUUUGGCAGUCCUAAGCAAGAAUACCAUUUAUACAACUUCCUAAUCAUUUACAGUGUCCUUUCAUAGCACUGCCUAUAUAGGGAGUAUUAUAAUCCGUGUUCUAAUGCAGCCCAAGAUUAUGCAACUAAUCCAAAAGAUACUUCCAGCACUUGGAUACUACCUGGGAGCAACUUGUCAUGCUUGCAUUGUAUGGAACAAGUGUUCAAAAUAGAAUGCAAAAACUGUAAGCUGAUGGAAGAGGCAGCACAUGACAUCCCUGAUACUCCAGGGAGAAUAUUUGAUAUAGGAGAUACCUUUGUUGUGUCCCUUUCUGCCUUGGUGCCAAUCAAUAUGCUGAAGUCCUCAAAAAGUUCCUGAGAGAUCCAUUUCAAAUUCUAGUGAAGAAAGAACUGAUCUUUGAAAGGCGCUGACAGAAGGAAAGGGGCAUUACCAAGAGGGAACUCCUUGAUAAGAAUUGGAAGCGGGAGUCAGUUUGGGAGGAAAGCUGUGGCCAUAAACAUUGAAGAAGACAAGAAGAUUCUUUGUGACACUGAGACUUUCUAUCACACUACGGUAGAGGAAAUGGCAAAGACUGUGGCUGACCUAAUUUAAUUCCUGGAAUGAAAUGAUUAUGAAUGUAGUGCUUGCUGUUGCUGAACGGGCAAUCACAUUGUGCAUUGUGUUUCUUUUGGGGGUAAUAUGUGAAGCUUGUCUCAGUGCUCAUAACAGAUUAAAAAUACAGAUUUUGAUAGCAAAGCAACUUCAGAC